AUCUUCCGCAAUGGGCGCAAGCCUGACGGAGCAAUGCCGCGUGUGGGAUGAAGCACCUUCGGUGUGUAAACCACUGUCAGAGAACAGAAACAAUGAUCAUUCUCAAAGGAAGAGACGGCUAACCCUGUGCCAGCAGCCGCGGUAAUACAGGGGUCUCGAGCGUUAAUCGGAAUCACUGGGCUGAAAGGGAGCGUAGGCUGACCAGCAAGUGCUUUGUGAAAUCCCCCGGCUCAACCGGGGAACUGCGGGGCAUACUGCUGGUCUUGAGGCAUGUAGGGGCGGGCAGAACAGUAGGUGGAGCGGUGAAAUGCGUAGAUAUCUACUGGAAUGCCGAUGGUGAAGACGGCCCGCUGGGCAUGGCCUGACGCUCAGGCUCGAAAGCGUGGGGAGCAAAC
rnacentral:rRNA from 1 species